AGUGAACGCUGGCGGUAGGCCUAACACAUGCAAGUCGAACGGCAGCACAGUAAGAGCUUGCUCUUACGGGUGGCGAGUGGCGGACGGGUGAGGAAUACAUCGGAAUCUACUUUUUCGUGGGGGAUAACGUAGGGAAACUUACGCUAAUACCGCAUACGACCUACGGGUGAAAGCAGGGGAUCUUCGGACCUUGCGCGAUUGAAUGAGCCGAUGUCGGAUUAGCUAGUUGGCGGGGUAAAGGCCCACCAAGGCGACGA
rnacentral:rRNA from 1 species